ACGACGCUGGCGGCGUGCCUAACACAUGCAAGUCAACUUGACUGAAGGAGCAAUCUGACAGUAGAGUGGCGCAAGGGUGCGUAACGCGUAAGUAACUUGCCCAAGGUAAGGAAUAACGUCGAGAAAUCGGCGCUUAAUACCUCAUAAUGCAGCGGAUCCGCAUGGAUAUGUUGUUAAAGGUUUACCGCCUUGGGAUAGGCUUGCGUCUGAUUAGCUAGUUGGUGUGGUAACGGCACACCAAGGCUACGAUCAGUAACUGGUCUGAGAGGAUGAUCAGUCACACUGGAACUGAGACACGGUCCAGACUCCUACGGGAGGCAGCAGUGAGGAAUAUUGGGCAAUGCUCGAAAGAGUGACCCAGCAACGCCGCGUGGAGGAUGAAGGUAUUCUAUAUCGUAAACUCCUGUGAGAGCAGACGAAAGACAGAUUAUUAAUCUGGAUGACCGUAUGCUCAGAGGAAGCCCCGGCUAACUACGUG
rnacentral:rRNA from 1 species